CCAAAGGCUCUUUUCAGAGCCACCCACACAGUCGAGAAAGGGUUU
rnacentral:ncRNA from 1 species